rnacentral:ncRNA from 1 species
UGUGCCUACUCUAUGCCAGCAGGAGCGAGUUACCCAUUGAUCCCCGUUCUUGAUGGGGAUCGGGAAUUGCAAUUAUUCCCCAUGAAUGAGGAAUUCCCUGUAAGUGCGGGUCAUAAGCUUGAGUUGAUUAAGUCCUUGCCCUUUGUACACACAGUGAAGCCCAAUACUAUUACCAAUUGGAUGGUUUAGUGAGGCCCUCAGAUCGGCCCUGCAGGGGUCUGCACAUGGACCUGGCUGAGAGCUAAGAAGGAAAACUUGACUAUCUAGAGGAAGUAAAAGUCCCAACAAUGUUUCCCUAGGUGAACCUGAAGAAGGAUCAUUA